CAGUAGCCGCGGGAAUACGAAGGGUGCAAGCGUUAAUCGGAAUUACUGGGCGUAAAGCGUGCGUAGGCGGUUUGUUAAGACAGAUGUGAAAUCCCCGGGCUCAACCUGGGAACUGCAUUUGUGACUGGCAAGCUAGAGUGUGGCAGAGGGGGGUGGAAUUCCGCGUGUAGCAGUGAAAUGCGUAGAUAUGCGGAGGAACAUCAGUGGCGAAGGCGGCCAUCUGGGACAACACUGACGCUGAGGCACGAAAGCGUGGGGAGCAAACAGGAUUAGAUACCCCUGUAGUCCCUGUCUCUUAUAC
rnacentral:rRNA from 1 species